AACGAACGCUGGCGGCAUGCCUAACACAUGCAAGUCGAACGAGACCUUCGGGUCUAGUGGCGCACGGGUGCGUAACGCGUGGGAACCUGCCCUUAGGUUCGGAAUAACUCCACGACAGGGGUGCUAAUACCGGAUAAUGUCUUCGGACCAAAGAUUUAUCGCAUUUGGAUGGGCCCGCGUUGGAUUAGCUAGUUGGUAGGGUAAAAGCCUACCAAGGCGACGAUCCAUAGCUGGUCUGAGAGGAUGAUCAGCCACACUGGGACUGAGACACGGCCCAGACUCCUACGGGAGGCAGCAGAGGGGAAUAUUGGACAAUGGGCGAAAGCCUGAACCAGCAAUGCCGCGUGAGUGAUGAAGGCCUUAGGGUUGUAAAGCUCUUUUACCCGGGAUGAUAAUGACAGUACCGGGAGAAUAAGCUCCGGCUAACUCCGUG
rnacentral:rRNA from 1 species